AGCAUAACAAGAUAGAUGGGUUCCUAGGGGCCUUCUCCCGUCACCGUUCAUGUGACCGGAUUCAAGAGGUUCCAUGGAGUCGCAGACAACCCAACCGAGAAAAUCGUGCGCAAUCUCCAGUCAUUCGUGCAGAAGAGAGGGCUGCCCAAGGGACUUGUGCUUGGAAGCUGCACUGUCCUUGAGGCGGCCGGGCAGGGCGCACUAGGUCCAUUGUAUGAAUUGUUGGAGUCAACUGUCCAUGGCCGGGAAUAUGGAUCGCUGAAUCAGGAGCAAGUAAUUCUGCUCCAUUUUGGAGCCAACAGUGGUUCACUUAGGUUUGCUCUUGAGAAUCAAGCUGUUAAUGAAGCUACUUUCCGUUGCCCUGAUGAGCUAGGAUGGAAACCACAGAGGGUUCCUAUCAUGUCAUCGGAUGGAAGCAUCUUGCAUGCAAGACAGACUACAUUGCCAGUGAAGGAAAUAAGCAAAUCUCUCCAACAAAUGGGAUACGAUGUGAUGCCUUCAGAUGAUGCUGGUCGAUUUGUGUGCAACUAUGUCUAUUACCACUCUCUUAGGUUUGCGGAGAAUCAUGGUAUCAGGUCACUCUUCGUUCAUUUCCCCCUCUUCUUGGCAAUUGAUGAGGAAGUUCAGAUGCAAUUUGUUGCUUCCCUUCUUGAAGUCCUCGCUUCCUUAAAAUUACAGUAAUCUAAUUGUCCACUCUUCCCAAUUUACAAGUGGUGUGAAUAAGAAUGGUCAAUCAUUCAUGGCAUUAUGUGUGCUCCAAAAUGUGUAUAAAAAAACUCUCUUAGAAAGCAUGUCCAUGUGGUCCUGAUGUCCAAAUAUCCAAAUGGGUCAUGUGUGCAUGUUCUCAGAGCUUAUGUUUCACUGUCUGAUGCUAUUCAGAACUUGUGUAUUUCCUCAUUAUGAACAACAUUUUUCUGAUUA